AUUGAACGCUGGCGGCAUGCCUUACACAUGCAAGUCGAACGGUAACAGGUCUUCGGAUGCUGACGAGUGGCGAACGGGUGAGUAAUACAUCGGAACGUGCCUAGUAGUGGGGGAUAACUACUCGAAAGAGUGGCUAAUACCGCAUGAGAUCUACGGAUGCAAGCAGGGGAUCGCAAGACCUUGUGCUACUAUACCGGCCGAUGGCAGAUUAGGUAGUUGGUGGGAUAAAAGCUUACCAAGCCGACGAUCUGGAGAUGGUAUGAGAGGACGAUCAGCCACACUGGGACUGAGACACGGCCCAGACUCCUACGGGAGGCAGCAGUGGGGAAUUUUGGACAAUGGGCGCAAGCCUGAUCCAGCAAUGCCGCGUGCAGGAUGAAGGCCUUCGGGUUGUAAACUGCUUUUGUACGGAACGAAAAGCCCUGGGUUAAUACCCUGGGGUCAUGACGGUACCGUAAGAAUAAGCACCGGCUAACUACGUGCCAGCCGCCGCAGUAACAC
rnacentral:rRNA from 1 species